rnacentral:rRNA from 1 species
UGGUGGAGUGAUUUGUCUGGUUAAUUCCGUUAACGAACGAGACCUCGACCUGCUAAAUAGCUUUUGGAUGCAAUUUGGAUCUACUUAAGCUUCUUAGAGGGACUUUGGGCGGGUAACCUAUGGAAGUUCGAGGCAAUAACA